rnacentral:rRNA from 1 species
GAUGAACGCUGGCGGCGUGCUUAACACAUGCAAGUCGAACGAACCUUCGGGUUAGUGGCGGACGGGUGAGUAAUGCUUGGGAACUUGCCUUUGCGAGGGGGAUAACAGUUGGAAACGACUGCUAAUACCGCAUAAUGUCUUCGGACCAAACGGGGCUUCGGCUCCGGCGCAAAGAGAGGCCCAAGUGAGAUUAGCUAGUUGGUAAGGUAACGGCUUACCAAGGCGACGAUCUCUAGCUGUUCUGAGAGGAAGAUCAGCCACACUGGGACUGAGACACGGCCCAGACUCCUACGGGAGGCAGCAGUGGGGAAUAUUGCACAAUGGGGGAAACCCUGAUGCAGCCAUGCCGCGUGUGUGAAGAAGGCCUUCGGGUUGUAAAGCACUUUCAGUUGUGAGGAAAAGUUAGUAGUUAAUACCUGCUAGCCGUGACGUUAACAACAGAAGAAGCACCGGCUAACUCCGUGCCAGCAGCCGCAGUAACAC